AUUGAACGCUGGCGGCAUGCCUUACACAUGCAAGUCGAACGGUAACGGGCCUUCGGGUGCCGACGAGUGGCGAACGGGUGAGUAAUACAUCGGAACGUGCCCGAUCGUGGGGGAUAACGAGGCGAAAGCUUUGCUAAUACCGCAUACGAUCUACGGAUGAAAGCAGGGGACCGCAAGGCCUUGCGCGGACGGAGCGGCCGAUGGCAGAUUAGGUAGUUGGUGGGAUAAAAGCUUACCAAGCCGACGAUCUGUAGCUGGUCUGAGAGGAUGAUCAGCCACACUGGGACUGAGACACGGCCCAGACUCCUACGGGAGGCAGCAGUGGGGAAUUUUGGACAAAGGGCGCAAGCCUGAUCCAGCCAUGCCGCGUGCAGGAUGAAGGCCUUCGGGUUGUAAACUGCUUUUGUACGGAACGAAAAGCCUUCUUUUAAUACAGGAGGGUCAUGACGGUACCGUAAGAAUAAGCACCGGCCAACUACGUG
rnacentral:rRNA from 1 species